CGUCGAGCGGAAACGACUUAACUGAACCUUCGGGGGACGUUAAGGGCGUCGAGCGGCGGACGGGUGAGUAAUGCUUAGGGAUCUGCCCAGUCGUGGGGGAUAACAGUUGGAAACGACUGCUAAUACCGCAUACGCCCUACGGGGGAAAGGAGGGGACCUUCGGGCCUUUCGCGAUUGGAUGAACCUAAGUGAGAUUAGCUAGUUGGUGAGGUAAUGGCUCACCAAGGCGACGAUCUCUAGCUGGUCUGAGAGGAUGAUCAGCCACACUGGAACUGAGACACGGUCCAGACUCCUACGGGAGGCAGCAGUGGGGAAUAUUGCACAAUGGGCGAAAGCCUGAUGCAGCCAUGCCGCGUGUGUGAAGAAGGCUCUAGGGUUGUAAAGCACUUUCAGCGAGGAGGAAAGGUUGAUGAUUAAUACUCAUUAGCUGUGACGUUACUCGCAGAAGAAGCACCGGCUAACUCCGUGCCAGCAGCCGCGGUAAAUACGGAGGGUGCAAGGCGUUAAUC
rnacentral:rRNA from 1 species